GACAUACAAAUACACCAUCUUCUUUAACCAUUUUAGUGAAUGGGGGUGGAAUCGACUUUUCAAAUUCAAACCCAUCAUUGAGUAGAAAAUCUCUAACAUGCUCAUACCAAACUCGUGAUGCUUGCUUAAGUUCAUAUAGUAUCAUGAAAUUUAUACACAUGAUUGGCAAAAUAGGGAGGACAAUACAGGACCCAUGUUCUCAAUUUUUUGGAAGGCAUGACUAUAAGGAAGCCCCCGCAGAUACGUUUCUAUUGACCUCUUCUUUUCAGCUUACAGGACGGGAUUUCCUGAGAGGCCGCUCUCCCCCAGCUAACUAGAGGAGCCGUCCAAAUUUUUUGCUAGUCUUCCAAAUUAGAAUCCCAAAAGAGGGGGGGUUAUAUUUUGUCCACCAGAAGACAUUGGCAAAUUUACAAGCAGCAAGCGGCACAUGUACAAGUAGCAUACAGAUUUAUUCUUCCAUUUCUUGAUUAGGUCUAUAUCUACAGAUUUAUGUCAAAAAAAUGGUUCAGCAUCAGGGAUGUAGUUGAGGAUUUAUAUAUUUUAACUUGAAAGAACAAAAAAAAAAUCAAAUUCAUCGAGGAUCCCUUGGUUUCGUCGUGACAAGUAAAACUCUCCUUCCGCGCAACCACCUGUUUCAUUUUUCGUUCGUUAUAAAAGUCC
rnacentral:lncRNA from 1 species